GAGACGCAGAAGGAUGAUACUUACAACUACAGGGAACUGGUUGGUUCGCUUAUGUACAUAGCAGUCUGUACUAGACCGGACAUCAGCCAUGCGGUGGGAUGGAUAUUACAGCUUAUGCGGAUGCAGACUGGGCGUCUAAUAACAUCGACCGUAGAUCAUAUACAGGCUAUGUCUUUCUAUUGGGUAAGUCCAUCAUCUCUUGGGAAAGUAAAAAGCAGCGUACUGUUGCUUUAUCAAGCACUGAAGCAGAAUACAUGGCUUUGUCUGACACAUGUAAAGAAGCUCUGUUCAUUAGAAAGUUUUUAUUUGAGAUGCUUGGUGUCAUGGCUAAAAUAACUGUUCUUAAUGAUAAUCAAUCUGCAAUAAAACUUUGUAAGAAUUUUAUGUUUCAUUCUAGGACAAAAUAUAUUGACAUACGUCACCAUUUUAUAAAAGAAAUUGUUAAUGAUGGUAUUGUAGAAGUUAAGUAUAUGUCAACAAAUAAUAUGUUAGCCGAUGUAUUGACAAAGCCACUUAAUAAAAAUUUGCAUUGUAAAUUCACGAAUUUAUUGUUAACUGUGUAACUUAAUUUUAUUACAUGAAUGGUUUAGUGUUUAUAGUGUAACCUAAAUGUUUGUGUGUUUAUUUAUGUUGACUGUUAAAUUCGUUAGGAAUGUUAUGCAUAUUUUCUUGUUUAUUUUUGUGUUAUGUAAAGGUUAGAGUUGAACAGCUUGCGUUUAAGGGCCAGUGUUGAAGAUGUGUAAACGCAACCUAAUGUUAUCUGUUAUCUGUAUCUAGUUUAUCUGUGGUAGCUGUCACUCGUCCCUUUUUUUUCACUAUGAUCUUUUAUUGUACGCUUGUGUAUAUUUAUAAAAAUAAAAUAUCCGUUUAUAUUUCAA